GUACGCAAAUAACGAGAUAAACCCAUGUAAUGUCCGGAACCUCAACCAUGAAAAUCAUCAAAAAAACCAACUGUGUCUCCCAGUCAUAAACAAUCUUGAAUAAUUUGGCACAGACGAUAAUGGAAUUACAAUCUUCUACUGAAAAAGCAAGAUGUAACAACAGCAAACCUAAUGUAGCCAACAAUUGUUUUGAGCCAAAUGCCUCCAACACAUCAUUAAGCAUGCAGCAAACACUGAAGCUUAAGAACACUAGUUUU
rnacentral:misc_RNA from 1 species